GGCUGAAGGGAAACAGAUGCCAGGUGGGCCAUUAGCCACUUCUUCAACAGCCCCUCUGCACUCUGCCGGGGCCCACCUCAGUCAUACUGUGAACCCGCGGCCUGGAUCAAGUUGAUCAGCUGCCACAUCUGAGCUGCAGGCCCAGGAAGACGCUGCCUGCCGGCACAGAACGACGCGGCCUGCCAGCAUAGAACGACGGUGCCUGCCGGCACGGAAUGAUGCACUCCGGAGAGCCACUGUCCUCACCUUCACCAUUCCUGUCAAAUCUCCGGCCCACUUCUCCCAGGAGACCACUCUGUGGCCACCUUCAGCAGCCGAGGCCCUUAGGUGGGGCCCACACCUGCCACUCAGCUAAUCCUCAGAGGCAGCCACCGGAAGCCUUCACCAGCAGCAAACCCAGUGAGCACAUCCUCCGUGUCCGUCCUCAAGGAAGGGAGGUGCUCUUUGCGGGCCUCCCCAGGC